rnacentral:rRNA from 1 species
AUUGAACGCUGGCGGCAGGCCUAACACAUGCAAGUCGAACGGAGCGGCGAACGGGUGAGUAAUGCAUCGGAACCUGCCCGGUAGUGGGGGAUAACUACCCGAAAGCGGCGCUAAUACCGCAUACUAUCAGAUGGGCCUAGAUCGGAUUAGCUAGUUGGUGGGGUAAAGGCUCACCAAGGCGACGAUCCGUCGCUGGUCUGAGAGGAUGAUCAGUCACCCUGGAACUGAGACACGGCCCAGACUCCUACGGGAGGCAGCAGUGGGGAAUAUUGGACAAUGGGGGAAAUCCUGAUCCAGCCAUGCCGCGUGUGUGAGGAAGGUCUUCGGUUUGUAAAGCUCUUUUAGCUGGGAGGCGUUACCUGCAGAAUAAGCACCGGCUAACUACGUGCCAGCCGCCGCGGUAAUUC